AUCAAAAAGCACACCUUGCAUGUCAUUAUAGGCUUCAUACUGGAGAGAAACCUUACAAGUGUAAUGAGUGUGGCAAGACCUUCAGUCAGAAGUCAUCCCUUGUGGGCCAUCGUAGACUUCAUACCGGAGAAAAACCUUACAACUGUCAUGAGUGUGGCAAGACCUUUGCUCGAAAUUCAUCCCUUCUAAUUCAUAAGGCAAUUCAUACUGGAGAGAAACCUUACAAGUGUAAUGAAUGUGGCAAGGUUUUUAAUCAACAGUCAAACCUUGCACAACAUCAGAGAGUUCAUACUGGAGAGAAACCUUACAGGUGUAAUGAGUGUGGCAAGACCUUCAGUCAUAUGUCAUCCUUUGUAUACCAUUAUAGACUUCAUAGUGGAGAGAAACCUUACAAGUGCAAUGAGUGUGGCAAGACCUUCAGUCAUAUGUCAUCCUUUGUAUGCCAUCAUAGACUUCAUACUGGAGAAAAUCCUUAUAAGUGCAAUGAGUGUGGCAAAGCCUUUAGUGGGCAGUCAUCACUUAUUCAUCAUCAAGCAAUCCAUGGUAUAGGGAAACUUUACAAAUGUAAUGAUUCUCACAAAGUCCUCAGUAAUGCUACAAGCAUUGCAAAUCAUUAGAGAAUCCAUAAUGAAGAGAGAUCUUACAAGUGUAGUAAAUGUGGCAGAUAUUUCAGACAUUGUUCAUAGCUUGCAGUUCAUCAGUGAACUCAUACUGGAAAGAAACGUUACAAAUGUCAUGAUUGCAGCAAGGUCUUCAGUCAAGCUUCAUCUUAUGCAAAACACAGGAGAAUUCAUAUGGGAGAGAACCUCACAACUGUGAUAAUUGUGGCAGUCAUUUUUUUUUCUUUUUUCAGAUGAAGUCUUACUCUUUUGUCCAGGCUGGGGUGCAGUGGCGUGAUCUCGGCUCACGGCAACCUCCACCUCCCAGGUUCAUACGAUUCUCCUUCCUAGCCUCCUGAGUAGCUGGGACUACAAGCAUGCUCCACCAAGCCUGGCUAAUUUUUAUGUUUUUAGUAGAGACAGGGUUUCACCAUGUUGGCCUGGUUGCUCUCAACUCUUGAUCUUGUGAUCCGCCUGCCUCGGCCUCCCAAAGUGCUGGUAUUACAGGCAUGAGCCACCACGCCCAGUGUGGCAAUGUCUUUACUUUACAUUCACACCGCAUUAGACAUCAGGGAAUCUAUACUGGACAGAAAUCUUACAAAUGGAAUAGGUGUGGCAAUGUCUUUAGUCUGAGGUCACUCCUUGCAGAACAGUAGAAAAUUCAUUUUUGAGAUAAUUGUCCCAAAUACAAUGACUAUAGAAAAUGACAAACUUUAAUUGACAUUAGAGUCAAUUCUGCAUUGACUAGAGUUUGAGUUGACUUAACAUUGAGUUCAAGCAUUAAUUGACAUAAAAAGUGUUUACGUCAAGAAGAAUGGGCAGGGUGCAGUUGCUCACACCUAUAAUCCCAGCACUUUGGGAGGCCAAGGCAGGCAGAUCACUUGAGGUCAGCAGUUUGAGACCAGCUGGGCCAACAGACCUGAACCAGUUUGCCCAGCCUGUUUUUUCUUUCCUUCUUUCUUUCUUUUCUUUUCUUUCUUUCUUUUUUUUUUUUUUUUUUUUGAGACAGAGUCUUUCUCUUGUCGCCCAAGCUGGCGUGCAAUGGCACAAUCUUGGUUCACUGCAACCUCCACCUCCUGCAUUCAAGCAAUUCUCUUUUCUAAGCCUCCCAAGUAGCUGGGAUUUCAGAUGUGUGCCACCACACCACAUAGUCCCUCUCCACAGAGAUGGUUGAGAAGGCUGAUGGAAAAGCCAGAUACUUGUUCUACAGCUUUCCCUGACACUAGUAUAUCAUCCACAUACUGGAGCAUAGAUAUACACUUUGGGAUGCUCAUCUUUUCUAACACCUCCUCAAGAAUUUGGCCAAACAAGUUAGGAGAAUCUGUAAAUCCUUGGGGUAAGACUGUCCAGCAGUAUUGUUGUUUUCACCCAGAGUGAGAAUCUUCCCAUUCAAAAGUGAAUAUAUCCUGACUAUCUUCAGCUAAAGGACAUGCCCAGAAGGCAUCUUUCAGGUCUAUUUCUGUAAACCACUGAUGGUCAUAUGGAAUUUUGCUGAGAAUAGUAUAUGGAUUGGGAACAACAGGAUGAGUGGUUUGAACAGUUUGAUUAAUGGCUUGAAGAUCUUCUACAAGUCAGUAUCACCAAUCUGACUACUUUACAAGUAAUAUUGGAGUAGUAUAGGGAGACAUGCACAGUUCAAGUAGCCCAUCUCAGAUAAGGCUCUCAAUUAGAGGUUUUAAACCUAAUCUACCUUCUAAGGGAAUUGGAUAUUGGUUUCUUUUCACUGUUUCCCUGGGAGUUUUUAACUUUAUGUGAAUUGGAGGAACUUGUAGCUUCCUUCAAUUUCCCUCCCUUGACCACUCAUUAGCAUUGAUGUAGCUUUCUUCUGCUGUAGUAAACAGGUUUAAUGAAGUGAAGAAUCCUUCUGGGCUUACACGCAAGCCUAUACCUAACUUUGCCAUUAGGCCACUUCCUAACAAGUUUGUCCCAGCCUUAGGAAGUAGCAAAAAUUUAACAUUGGUUGAUCGGGUUUCAAAUCUGACUUCUGUUUUUUCUGAGACUUUGGCUUUAAAUCCUUCCCCUUUGACUCCUAAAACUUGAAGUUCUUCUAAUAAACAAUUUAUAUUAGAGGGCACAAAACAAACAGAGGAGUGGGAAGCUCCUGAGUCUAUUAGAAAAGUAAUAAGUUCGGCUGGGUGCCAUGGCUCACACCUGUAGUCCCAGCACUUUGGGAGGCCAAGGUGGGCGGAUCACCUGAGGUCGAGAGUUCGAGACCAGCCUGACCCACAUGGAGAAACCCCAUCUUUACUAAAAAUACAAAAUUAGCCAGACUUUGUGGCACAUGCCUAUAAUACUAGCUACUUGGGAAGGCUGAGGCAGGAGAAUCACGUGAACCUGGGAGGUAGAGGUUGCAGUGAGCCAAGAUCACGCCAUUGCACUCCAUCCUGGGCAACAAGAACAAAACUCUGUCUCAAAAAAAAAAAAGAAAGAAAAGUAACAAGCUCAUGUUUUGGUCCCACCUUUAAAUUUACCACGGGCUCUCAGUGGGACUGGAGAUAGAAAAGACAGAGCCCUUGACUUCCUUAUUCUUUAAAUUCCUUAAGUGGGAUUUUUUUUUCUCCUUUCUCCACUCAGGACAUUCUCUUUUGAAAUGACCUAAUUUUCCACACUUGUAACAUUUGUCUUGUCCCUCUCCCUUUUCAGUUUUUGGAGUCUUAGGGUACUGGGUUUGCUUUCCCUUUUUACCUGUCUUUGAGUUCUGUGGCCCCCCUGUCUCAUAUCUUUUGUGAGGCCUGGCAAAUGGAGGCUUAAGCUUGGCCUCUGGUGCAUUCUGUCAGAAAAUUUUUCUUUUUGCUUUGGUUUUUCUUCAUCCCUCCUUACAUAUACUUUUUGAGCUUAUUCUAAGAAUUCCCGUAUAGACUGUUUUUUCCAGUUUUCUAGUUUCUGUAACUUUUUUUGCAAUGGCUUGCUAAAUGGCUACCAAUGGCUAGCUAUUGGUAACAAAAUGUAGCUUUAACAUUUCUUGCCUGCUAGGGUCUUCUGGAUCCAAAUGUGCAUAUUUUCUCAUUUGUUCUCAUAGUCUUUUUAGAAAGUUUUUAGGGCUUUCAUCUUUUUUCUGUUUUAUCUAAAAUGCUCGGGGAAGAUUCUGAGCACAGGGCACUGACUCCUGAAUUCCUUUAAUUAUCAUUUCCCUUAUAUCUUUCAUGAAUUUUUAGUGGACUGUGUCGUUAUCCCAUUGAGGAUCUUGGGUCGGGAAUUUCUGGUCUACAAUGGGAACGUUUUGGCUGGAUAGGUAUUUACGUUCCCAAACUCUCAUAGCAGUCCUGCAAAUCAACUGCCUUAUAUAUAAUACUCCAAUAUUACCUGUAAAGUUGUCAGAUGUGUCAUACCGGCUCAUACAAGAUCUUUUGUAUCAUUUUAUAAAACGAUACAAAAGCUGCAAAGCCACCAGCCUGCCUGCUUCCCUUGGAGAAGUUGGGACUUCCUGACAACUGCACAAACUCACGUGGGGGAUUUCAAUAUCCCAAAGCAUGCAGAUUCCUGGUGUGGCUGGAAUUGGUGCUGGGGUGCUGCGAAAGCCAGGUUUGAAGCAGGAAGACAAAAAAACCACUCACCUGUGUCAGCCUCGAGUGCUGAAGAACAACCGUGUGUGGGCCUUCAACCCUGUCUGGGUGGGUUCUGGACAGUGGGUGGGGACCCGGCGGGAGAAGGGAAAGGUCGUUGAGGGGGCAGGGCAUGAAAACUGUCGCUGGAGCUGGGCAAGAGGGUGGAGGCUGCUUUGGAAGCUGGGCCUGGUUAGAGGGUGGAGGUGGAGGUAGGGCCUGGAGUUUCAAGCUUCAGCCAUGCAUAGACUAGUCAGCUUCUGGUGUGUGACUAGAACAGGGCUUGUUCCCUCAAGCUUCAGCUGUGCAUAGACUGGUCAGACUCCGUAGUGACUAGAGCAGGCAGUCUUCUUUAGCAGCAGGUUGAUCUCAUCUCAGGAUGAGUUGGAUGAUCUGGGUCCUGCUGGCUUGUCUACUUGUCUUGAGCUGCCAGUUUCAGCUGACUGUGGUGGAUCUAAGGCACAACACCUGCAACUUUAACAGCAGCGGGACUGAACAAGAUUACAGUAUAGGGCUUAUAUUGUAUGAGUCUUAGAGAAGUUGGAUUCUACAUAGCUGGUGGCCUUGUAGCUGUGUCAAAAAAAAGAACUGGCUAAAUACAGACAUUUGUAAAACAUAGUCAUGCUUAAGAGACUAGGGAAAUGAGUAACAGUAGAAGAAUUUGUCUUUCUCUCUCUCUUUCUUUUUUUUUUUUUUUUUUUUUUUUUG
rnacentral:lncRNA from 1 species